CAGUGUUGGCAGCCAGAUGCCCCUUUCCCCAGUCUGGUAUGUCUUGAUUGGCUAGAGAAGCCUAGUCUCUCUGAACCUUCUUGUCAAAGUUUGGUAGCCAGCCUUGCUGAGGGAGAGAUGUCUCACUUUCAGAGUACUGUGCUAGGACCGAAUAUAGUGUUUCAUCAGUUUAUGAACAAGGCUGAGUUCUGGGGGCCUUGGAGAUCAUAGGAGGUUAAAAUCUGAACCAUUUACUAAGUCAGAUGUUGGGGCAUAAUAUUCAGCUGUGAGCAGAGUUGCUGUCACAUGAGAUCCUAACAUGAAUUACUAACAUUGCUUAUAACUGUGUUUGCCAAAUGCAGAGGCUUCCUUUUGACUUUCAAAAUUGGUUUCUUAGAUCACUUUUCAAAUUAGGAUGCACAUUAGCAGCUCUUUUAGGAGGAGUAUUACUCUCUAGUUCCAUCCUUUGGGAAGGCCUUGGAACUCUUCUUUCUUUCUAAGGGGCUGUCCACAAAGGAAAAUCAUCCCAUUCUUUGCUUCUCCUGUUGAGAUGGUAAACAACCAUGUUAUGCUUUCUUCAGUUACCCUUUACAAGAGAGAGAGAAAUGCCCAAAUGUCCCCUUUGCAUAUCCUGCAGGACCUUCUUGGGGAUGAGUAGGAAAGGAGUACCGGACCAGUGGGUCUCUUCGCAUUUCUGUGACCCUGGCUUUUCUGUUUGUUUACCAAAGGACCGGGAAACACCAAGCCUUCCAAGCCCUCAGCUGUGCCUCCAGGCCCCCCUGUGUAUUUGGACCUGUGCUAUAUUCCCAAUCACAGCAAUAGUAAGAAUGUUGAUGUCGAAUUUUUCAAGAGAGUGAGGUCAUCCUACUACGUGGUGAGUGGGAAUGACCCUGCUGCUGAGGAGCCCAGCCGGGCUGUCCUGGAUGCCUUGUUGGAAGGGAAAGCCCAGUGGGGCAGCAACAUGCAGGUAACCCUGAUCCCUACUCAUGACUCGGAAGUGAUGAGGGAAUGGUACCAAGAGACCCACGAGAAACAACAAGACCUCAACAUCAUGGUUUUAGCAAGCAGCAGCACAGUGGUUAUGCAAGACGAAUCCUUCCCUGCAUGCAAGAUUGAACUGUAAAAACCAAGGCCAGCCACACCACAGGAUUUGAACUUUGUUUCCAGAAAUUCUUCAAUUUGAAACCACCUUUUCUAAAAAGUCAAUGCGUCUAAAUAAGUCACUGAACUGUUACCUGCCAAAUGCUAUACUGUGUCACGGUGAUGCAAGUCACUAAUAUUUCUUAGUUUUUGCUGAUUGCUAAGGGAAGUAACAGUAUUCCCACAGUAGGGUUCAAGUUACUGCAAAAUUACCUAUCCCAGUUCAUCUCUGCUGAACAUUUGGAAACCAUGCACUAGCAAACCCAACUGACUUCUGCUAGGUAGAGGCAUUUGUCUUAGAGAGAGAGAGAGAGAGAGAGAGAAAGAGAGAGAGAGUGCGCGCGCACAAUGAGAGAGAACACAGGAGAGAGAGAAGGAGAAAGGAAAAGAAUGCAAGAGAAGGAGAGGUAAUGGUAGAGAGUGCUGGUGAGAUACCCAGAGAGAAAGAGACAGAGCAAGGUGGGGUAAGGAGGAGAGAAUAACCAGCACUUAGGGCUGCAUUUUCUCAGGCAGUCUGUAUUCUGUAGUCUACAUAGGCCAAGUUUUCAAUUUGUGUCAGUCUGAGUCAUCAAAAAGGGUCUUCAUUUUCUAAAACAAGUUAGCUGGAAGGAAACAAAAAGAACAAAACUUGUUACGAGGGCAUGUGAGAUUUUCACGCCUUAAUUAAGCUCCUUCAGUUUGAAGGCUGCACACUGACAUGAUGUAGUGAGCGCAGACUGGAUGAGCGAGUGGUUUGAACCCCAUUCCGAACUCUCAGACUCUUCAGACACACGAGUAGAUUGAUCUAAGGCAUGCUCCCAGCAUUUGUCCACCCAGUUAGUCCACUCGGAGUCACUUCACCUGCAUGCGGAAACACCCAAGUCCACCCCAAUUAACAAGCAAAUACCAAAGCGGUUGGGAGUACACACGGUAGACAAUUUGCCUUAGAAAGAGACUUGAAUGUACAAAGAUACUUGAUGCACUUAUUUUUUAAUGUGAGACCGCAAGUUUAUAAAACAUCUGUGUAGGAUUAUAGAUACUCCAGUUAAAGGAGCAAGUGUGUGCGCGUGUGGGAGGGGGACCUAGAAGCUGAUCUGAUGGGUGCAGCGGUUUGAUGCUGAGUCAUGUGUGUUGAAUACCACCUCAGUGCACCUGUGGCCCCUCAGCCGAACAAGUUGAGCCUAUCAUAGCUUCUCUACUACUGCAAGUUCCAAGAUCGAAAUGGCUUCUAUGAUCAGAACUGGGAGCACAGUGAAUCUUAUGGUGGAAGAGGUUCUCGACAAGUGUACAGUAUUUACCUUCCUUUGUCUUACAUUGGCUUUUUUCCUUUUUUUUUAAAUUUUCCAUUACUUUCAGCAUAAUUAUGGGAACAAGUGUACAGAAGAGUUUUUUUGUUUUUGUUUUUGUUUUUAGAUAUGUGAGAACUUUUCAUAGGUGAACUUUUUAACAAAUGUUUUCAUUUACAGGAAAAUGCAAAGAAAAUUUCAAGUGACAGUCUUUUUUUUUUUAAGUCUUUCAUAAGACAAAAUAAUGUUUCUUGAAGUUCUGGUGAGAUUGAAGUCUGAUGUUGCAGUAAUAUUUAUUAAAACCCGUAACUACCAGGAAUAGUGAUACCUUCCACCCCUUGAUUCCCCUAACAUACAAACCUUAGUAUGUGUUAUUUGAGAGUGGGGCAGAAUGGCACGGUAGGCUACUUUCCCAGGCCUUUGCAAGUGUAUCACCCUGUGGUAUUCUACAUCCUUCUUUGAAGACCUUUAACCAUGAGGUAAAAGAGCCAAGACAAGUUCAAAGAACCCUAGCAAAAAUUUGCUUUGGGAUUUUCUUUUCUGGAAAAAAAGGUAAAAGAAAUAAUUCAUUGAGAGCAAAUGAAUUCCCGUCUCCAACGAUUCAUCAUGUGGAGUUCAGAGAUCAUUUCCAUCAUUGUCGUCAUUGAACUAUGAACCUGGAAGCCAGAUCAUGAUUAAAACUGACGUCAAGUUUCAAGUUGCAGAUCAAUGCACCCAGUGUUCAGAUGUGGCAAACUUCUCAGUGACAACUGUGCUGUGCUCUGUCACGUUGUGUUUCCUGCAGACUCUUUAAGAUCUACGGAGUAGUGAACAAUGACCUCAUUUUAUUUUCUAUGUUAGUUAUUUAUUUCAAAAUUAACAUUUUAGUUGAUUUUUGUCUGGUAAGUGUAUGUUUUGCACUGCUAACUAACUACUAUGAGGGUUUAAACAAUGCUUCUUCAGGGUCCCUCCACGGAGGACCUAUGCAGUCUACUUAAUGCUGUGAAUUACAUUUUUCAAAUGUUUUAAUUUUUUAAAAAAUUAAUAUUCUAUUUUUUUUAGGCUUCUCUAGAAAUGCUUUUAUUUAUUACCCCAUUUCUUUAGAGUCCUUAAGAAUGACACAUUGAUAAAGGGUACAAAAAAAUCACACAAAAUGGAAAACUCAUUGUGACAAAAAUGGAUUUUAUUGAGUAUAAACUUACCUACUUCAAACUUACUUUAUGAGACCACCCAAGAUAACUCAUGAUAAUUAUUUACUGGUUAGUUGAGUUGGUUAGGUCCACGUAAUACAUGGGAAGAGAAACUGAUUUCCAGCCUUCUUGCCAAAUCCAGACCUCUGCUUGAUUUUUCUUUGAUAGAAGAUGGAAUUAUUUUCCAGUUUCCCCAAAUUAAAUUUAACGUGUGCAUUAUUUUGCUUUGUAAAAAAAUACAUUUUGGAGAAUUAUAGCCAAUCUUCAAUUAUAACCAUUCUAUCCUACUCCUUUUUUUCCUUUUUUUUUUUGCUAUGGGAUUUAAUGGGAAAAAUACACAAAAGCUGUCACUGGUCAGCUGGCUCUUUUUCCUACGAAAUGUAACGGUACCUUUUUCCAUCCAUUGUUCUCAGUGAUGACCGCAGAGCUUGAGUAUACCAGGAAAGUCAAUAUUUGCAUUGCAGGUCGCUCCUGUCCUUCCAGACACCUCUCCUACCUGUGUGACUAACCUAAUUUUGCUAGUUCCAUAAGUACACAAUUAGUUUAGUAACAGCCAUCACAAUGUACCAUGUACAUUCAUGGUGAGGGCUAGAGAUUGACACAGACUUCUAGGAGCUUUAUUCGUACUGAUUACUUAAUCCAAUUGUACAGAUUGAAUAUUUGAGUGAAAGGAAUUUACACUGUUUAAAUGACGAGACUCCAUCAAGAGGGCACUCAUGAUCACGAACUUUUGGUAGUGUUCUUAAGCAAAAUUCUACAGAGACUAAAUGUUAAGAGAUGAUCCUCCACUUUCAAUUUUAACGAAUUCUAUCCCCUUUCUCAAAACCCAACCCCCAUGCAUGCUUUCUCAGUCUUGUGGUGGGACUGGAUACAAUGACCCCUUCCCCCCCCAACACCAUUUUCCAUGGAGUUCAAAAAAAAAAAAAAAAAUUUUUUUUUUUUAAACCUUACAUAUCCUAGUGAAUGGUUUCCCCAGUGUAUAUGAAUGUUUUAAGUGUCUCCAAUAGCUUAUGCAGUUUAGGAGCUUUUCAAUACUCAUUUAAUAAGAUUCAAUCAUUUGCUAAUGAAAAUUCUACCACCUUCCAUUUUCUCUCUAUUACCAAAUUUCAGCUCUCAGGAGCUGCUCUACAAUUCUGAAAUUGCUUUUCUUGCCUCUCUUUAGUCACCUGUCACAGGAGGUUCUUGCUCGGUAAUGAUAUUGUGAGUUAGAUUAAUAACAUUUUUUUUUGUGCUUCAGAUUUAGAAGAAAAGAUUUGUUUCCAUUUGAAAGGAACUGUAAGCUUUUAUCUUCUAACCAACUGAACAACACACCAAAAACAGCCUAGGGAUGAGCAUUUCUUUGAAAGCAAUUAGGUUAUUCACCUGGUAUUAAAACUAUUGACUAUUAAAAAAAUGACUUUAUUAAUUUAAAAGGCAGCAUCAAAAACUGAAAAGGAAGGGAAAAAAAUAAAUAGCUUCUCUUCACUCGUUUGGAGCUCCCCAAACAGGAGCCAUCAAGAUGAGGCAUCAAGACCGGGCUGCCCUUUCGAGAACACCGUGCAGCCGUCCUGAGUCAUGCUUACCUGCGCUGCAUGCAGCCUUCUCUUUCCGGUCCUGGAAAGAAGUGGUCUUGAGCCCAGCUGAGAAGCACCUCCACUCCUCUCUCUUGUUCUGAAUGGUGUUUGUGUCAGUCUGCAGCUGUGUAUGGUAUUAUGUCUUAUAAUCCUGCAUCACUUCUAUCCUAUCCAGUCAUAUCUAAUGUAGAAAAUUAGUUUUCAGUGAAAGUAAUAUGUAGUGCUUUUAUGAUAUUUGUGUGCAAUAUCCCCUCUUCCAUUGAGGAUAUUUGAUGUAAAAGAAAAAAAAAAACUCAGUUCCACAAUAAAAUACAAAAGUGGCAAAAGUU